CAUCCGCUUGCUUAGUGAGGAGCUGUUUUGUUUCAUUGACAUGCUCUUAUGUUUCUUUUGCAGGUACCGAGUUUUGGCGAUUGGGGAUGAAAAAGAUCAAACCAGGAAAGAGGAUGAACUUAACAGCGUGGAUGACAUCCACUUUCUGGUGCUCCAGAACCUGAUCCAGAGCACGCUGGCCCUCUCAGACAGUCAGAUGAAGUCCUACCAGUCAUUCCAGACUUUCCGUCUCUAUCGGGAGUACAAGGACCACGUUCUUGUGAAGGCCUUCAUGGAGUGCCAGAAGAGGAGCUUGGUCAACCGGCGCCGGGUCAACCACACUCUGGGCCCCAAGAAGAACCGGGCCCUCCCCUUCGUGCCAAUGUCCUACCAGCUAUCCCAGACCUACUACAGGAUUUUUACAUGGCGAUUUCCAAGCACCAUCUGCACGGAGUCAUUCCAGUUUUUGGACAGAAUGCAGGCUGCCGGCAAGUUGGACCAGCCUGAUCGUUUCUCUUUCAAAGACCAGGAUAAUAACGAGCCCACAAAUGACAUGGUGGCCUUUUCAUUAGACGGCCCUGGAGGAA
rnacentral:sRNA from 1 species